CGGCCGACAGCGGCUCCCACGGGGAGCCCCGAGCUCCCAGCGGGCGGGGUGCGGGGGGACGGAAUGGGACCUGCUCGGGUCUUCCCUUCACAUCUUGCCCUCUCGGAGCCUGGCGGUGCUCUGGGGAGUCAACACAGGGGGAUAGAGCGCCUUUCCCUCACAGAAACCCAGUGCGGAGCCGUCCCCUCCGCCCUGCAUCCUGUCGUGAGGCACAAGCGGUUCCCCCCCGUCCCCCGCCCUGCUGCUCCGGGCUGACUUCUAUCUCUCUCUCUCCCUCCGCAGUGUGUGGCGUGGGCCGCCUGGCGGGGAGGAAGGCGGCAGAAAGCGUCCCAAGGUACCGGCAAGGCCUUCCAAUGCCCCCGAAGGCUUUGUCCGCUGGCCUGCCGCGCUCGGCUGCGCCCGGUGUGGGCAGGAGGCCAAGGACAGGCCUGGCCAGUGGGAAGCGCUGGGGAUCUGGAGUCGUGCCUUUGAACGGCUAUAGAGGUCCCACAUAGCAACUUUGUUUGAAAUAUUCUAGGCAUGGAUGAUCACACCUAAAUUAGAAGCACUGCUCAGGACUUCUUAAGAAUGAACAGUACCAUCCGCUAGAAGUCUGGCAGUGUCUUAAGUGGCCAACACAGAGGGGUAUAAAAGUUCUCUCUCAAACCCAGAGGUGAGGUUGAAACUCUUCUUUGGAUCAUGGUGAGAGGAACAACACAUUCAUGAAACUACUGAACUUCAGGAAACUACUAAAUCAACUUUAUUAAUAGCUUGUAGGUGUGUUGGUGCUUUAUGAACCUGUGAUAAACGUGUGAAGAGUUCCUUGUAAACUGGUUGGUCUCCAGGGAGGAAACCAGCAUGUGCAAGGGAUUUGAACUGAUAUUAAACAUCAGCUUAUGAUUUCAUGAGUGGCUGAUUUUUGAAUUCAUACUAGAUGAUUCCAGUUGUCACCUGUAAUGUAUUGUCUUGAAAGUGGAAUUGAGACAAGCAAUGGCUAAAGCUACACAUUUUCAAUGAUCAUGUUUAAUCAGGAACCUUGUCAUUUGUUAAAACAGGUUUCUUAACAAAAACUGCUGUAAUUUAUUUCUGUGUCUUUGUGGAUUAAUUGAAAUAAAAUAUGAGAAUGCUACCAGAA